UUUCCCGUAAUUCUUACAAGGUAGCUCGGUGACUUAGACGAAGGCCAACGCUUGCAACGCGAGCCCUAGUAAAUGUUGUGCACGACAUUCUAAGCAUAUGAAGAUAGUCGAUGAGAUAAAGAAUGAAAUGCUUCCAUAAUAACUAGUUUCAUGAUCCUAGACAUGUGAUGACCCACACAAUACGUGCUUAAGUGAAUCAUGAAUAAUAUCACAUCAAUGUGAUUUAGUCUCCCCAAUUUCUUCUCUGCUCUGGCUUGGUCUGGGGCUUCCCCCGAAAUACAACAUAAACUUUGUUUAAUGUUGAAAUGAAGUUACUGUGUCUUCGAUACAAGAAAAUGAGUGGGCCAAAUGUAUCCCUUGGGUGAUAUGGAUCACUGAUGAAGAUGGUAAGGAGAGUUCCAAAAUUAGUUGGAUGGAGUUUGUCUUCCUCAAGGUUCCAUCAGAAUAAUUUUGCAUCAAGAAUCUCAGAAUAUUGCUGCAUCAAGAAUCGUACGGCAUCGAGCAGAGCCAGAAAAUUAUGGCGCCUUGUGUCCGGUCAACCGUCGAGUAUCUAUUAAGCCCACACAAUGUGUUGUCCUGUUGGGUGAAUGAUGUAGAAGACGUUUCCUCUGCAGCAGCCCCAACGAGAACGAGAAAAAUGAACUAUGGAAACCAUGAGUCCCGAAAUUCCGUUUGUUGUCACCGAACAAUGUAACCCGUUAGUAG